rnacentral:rRNA from 1 species
GACGAACGCUGGCGGCGUGCUUAACACAUGCAAGUCGAACGGAAAGGCCCUGCUUUUGUGGGGUGCUCGAGUGGCGAACGGGUGAGUAACACGUGAGUAACCUGCCCUUGACUUUGGGAUAACUUCAGGAAACUGGGGCUAAUACCGGAUAGGAGCUCCUGCUGCAUGGUGGGGGUUGGAAAGUUUCGGCGGUUGGGGAUGGACUCGCGGCUUAUCAGCUUGUUGGUGGGGUAGUGGCUUACCAAGGCUUUGACGGGUAGCCGGCCUGAGAGGGUGACCGGCCACAUUGGGACUGAGAUACGGCCCAGACUCCUACGGGAGGCAGCAGCGGGGAAUAUUGCACAAUGGGCGGAAGCCUGAUGCAGCAACGCCGCGUGCGGGAUGACGGCCUCGGGUUGUAAACCGCUUUCGCCUGUGACGAAGCGUGAGUGACGGUAAUGGGUAAAGAAGCACCGGCUAACUACGUG